CAACAGCAUGAAGUAUGAUUUAUCGUCUGCAAAAGGCAAAACUUAAGAAGCCAAUUGAAAGCUAUUGAUAUAUUGCAAAGUUAAUAUAAAAUUGUUUUGUUCACCAAGCGUAUAAAUACAAAGAUCAAUGAAUCAAUUGCAAAGAUCAAUGGAUAGAAGAUUUCAUUAACUGGAAAACUAACGAAGCUGAGACUGAAACUGAUAACUUAUUUAUAAUCUUGAAAGCAAAAUAUAUUGGAGAGAAAAAAAACGACGAUAUAAGACCACAAAUUUAAGACCGUGUUUAAGGAAAGUGAAAUAACUUGGUGACAACUUCUAGAGUUAGAGAGGAAGAAAAUUCUAGUUGCGCAGCUUUCUUUAUAAGGGUGGGAAAAAAAUCUGGAGAUAUAGUUUUAAGAACUUAUCUUUUGGAAACGAAUGCAAGAAGAGAUCAACUGUGAAAUAUCCUAAGUUUUUUCUUGAAUUGUCAGAACGAAGACAAUAGAAAUAAAUGAAAGAAAGCCUGUUUAUCGAGACUAGAUAAAAGAAACAUUAAAAGGCAGACGACAUUGUUUCCAGUGAGACACGUCUGCUUAUUCAUUUUAUCGGUUGAAAGUGAAGUUUAUUUAACAACUCUGAAACAGUCAUGAAUCUUAAAGGAAUGGAAACAUCAAUUCAAUAUCAUUUGAUUCUCAUAUUGCUGCCAGCUUUGACUCUUUUUGUGACAUCUAUAGCAGCAAAAUCAGAAUGUACCCGAGUCCUAUUCGGUGAGAUAACUGCAACAAAAUGCUUAUCUGUUCAGAAUAAAAAAACUGAUAACGCAUCGUCUGCUGAAGACUGUGCAAGUCGGUGCAUUUUAUUCAAUAAGUGCGAAUAUUUUAGCUAUUGCAAUGGCUUGUGAUAUGCAGCAAUCCUUUUACGAGGGAGAAAUUCAAGAUUACGAUUGCAGCUGUUCAUCGUACAUUUUGCUCUCUGGAAACGGUACAAGCUGGCAGAAAGUGUUUGAGAUGACUCAAAACUCAUUUAAAAGAAGUCCAAUUUAUUUAUACUGGGACAAACUGCCUAUUAAAGAGGUGAAAUUUCAAGUGAGAAGACCAUAUAAUAAGGACGACUUCAUAAUAUUCAAUGGGAAAGGGACGAAUUCUACAUCGUGGUUCCAGAAAGAUAAAAUCAUUGAAAUUUCAAACAAGGAAUAGGUUCCACUGAACCUUACUUUCAAUGAGAAAGACCCGUAUUUUAGCAUCGAGUGGGAAGUUCAAAGUCAAGGAAAACGAUUUCACGCUGCUAGAAAAGAGGGAAGCCAUAAAGAGUUUGAUAUUUCUGUCAAAAACGAAGACAAUAGUGUGUUCGCCAGUUACGAAGCUUUGGUCAUCUCAGUGAUUUUUAUGUAGAAUGUAUAUUAUUCCAGAAACUAUGGAUACAUACAUACAUACAUACAUACAUACAUACA